UACGAAGGGAGCUAGCGUUGUUCGGAAUCACUGGGCGUAAAGCGCACGUAGGCGGAUGUGUCAGUCAGGGGUGAAACCCCGGAGCUCAACUUCGGAACUGCCUUUGAUACAGCACGUCUUGAGUCCGAUAGAGGUGGGUGGAAUUCCUAGUGUAGAGGUGAAAUUCGUAGAUAUUAGGAAGAACACCGGUGGCGAAGGCGGCCCACUGGAUCGGUACUGACGCUGAGGUGCGAAAGCGUGGGGAGCAAACAGG
rnacentral:rRNA from 1 species